rnacentral:sRNA from 1 species
AUUCUGCCCAUGCGGGGAAGGAUGAGAAGCUUCGACUAAGGUUCGGCUCGAGCAUCAGCGAGAGAGCGUUGCCGCAGGCAACGACCCGAAGGGCGAAGCGCGCAGCGCUGAGUAAUCCUUCCCCCACCACCA